CCGGGCUGAAGACUCUGCUUGACUAGCUGAGAGGAGGUGCAUGGCCGUCGUCAGUUCGUACUGUGAAGCAUCCUGUUAAGUCAGGCAACGAGCGAGACCCACGCCAACAGUUGCCAGCAUGUCCUCCGGGAUGAUGGGGACACUGUUGGGACCGCCUCUGCUAAAGAGGAGGAAGGAAUGGGCAACGGUAGGUCAGCAUGCCCCGAAUUAUCCGGGCUACACGCGGGCUACAAUGGUCAGGACAAUAGGUAUCGACACCGAGAGGUGGAGGCAAUCUCCUAAACCUGUCCUUAGUUCGGAUUGUGGGCUGCAACUCGCCCACAUGAAGCUGGAAUCCGUAGUAAUCGCGUUUCAAAAUAGCGCGGUGAAUAUGUCCCUGCUCCUU
rnacentral:rRNA from 1 species